AGAGUUUGAUCAUGGCUCAGGAUGAACGCUAGCGGCAGGCCUAAUACAUGCAAGUCGAACGGUAUAUUAGGUAGCAAUACAUGAUAGAGAGUGGCGCAAGGGUGCGUAACACGUAUGCAACCUGCCCUCAACAGGAGGAUAGCUCGGGGAAACCCGGAUUAACCCUCCAUAAGAUUGGAUGGCGGCAUCGCCACCCAAUUAAAACCACGGUGGUUGAGGAUGGGCAUGCGCCUGAUUAGCUAGUUGGUGGGGCAACGGCCCACCAAGGCGAUGAUCAGUAGGGGAACUGAGAGGUUUGUCCCCCACACUGGCACUGAGAUACGGGCCAGACUCCUACGGGAGGCAGCAGUAGGGAAUAUUGGUCAAUGGGCGAGGGCCUGAACCAGCCAUGCCGCGUGCAGGAAGACGGCCUUCUGGGUUGUAAACUGCUUUUACCUGGGGAUAAAAAGCCCAUGCGUGGGACAUUGAAGGUACCAGGUGAAUAAGCACCGGCUAACUACGUGCCAGCAGCCGCGGUAAUACGUAGGGUGCGAGCGUUGUCCGGAUUUAUUGGGUUUAAAGGGUCCGCAGGCGGGAGAAUAAGUCAGUGGUGAAAUCCUAUCGCUUAACGAUAGAACUGCCAUUGAUACUGUUUUUCUUGAGUGUAGUUGAAGUUGGCGGAAUGUGUCAUGUAGCGGUGAAAUGCAUAGAUAUGACACAGAACACCGAUUGCGAAGGCAGCUAACUAAACUAUAACUGACGCUCAUGGACGAAAGCGUGGGGAGCGAACAGGAUUAGAUACCCUGGUAGUCCACGCUGUAAACGAUGA
rnacentral:rRNA from 1 species